rnacentral:rRNA from 1 species
UACGUAGGGAGCGAGCGUUGUCCGGAUUUACUGGGCGUAAAGGGCGCGUAGGCGGUCCGUUAAGCGUGAAGUGAAAUCUCCAGGGCUCAACCCGGAAACUGCUUUGCGAACUGGCGGACUGGAGGAAGGCAGAGGUGAGUGGAAUUCCCGGUGUAGCGGUGACAUGCAUUGAUAUCGGGAGGAACACCCAUGGCGAAGGCAGCUCACUGGGCCUUUCCUGACGCUGAGGCGCGAAAGCGUGGGUAGCAAACAGA